ensembl:misc_RNA Vault Vault RNA
GGGCUGGCUUUAGCCCAGCGGUUCCUUCAAACCACCCGGCCGAUUGGUCCGGUGGUUCGAGACCCGCGGGCACUCUCCAGUCCUUUA